AGGGUGCGUCUAGAUUUCUAGGCUAGAAGUCAGCAGUAAGUAUAAAAGAUUGUGAUAAAAUGUGAGUAUCUAGUAACAAAAUGAAGAAGAUAGGUCAAACAUGAACAUUUUGGAAUGUGGAAUGUUAUUGUUAUGUAGGAGAAUAUGAAGUUUCUGUGUUCACGUUAAUAGGUUUGAUUGCAAUAGUCUGAAUAUUCCUUUUUUACUACUUCAGACAAGAAGCCAGAUGCAAGCAAAUGACAAAAGGCAGAAAAAUCAGAGCACCACUAUCGUGACAAAGAUCAUGGAAAGAAGGCACACAGACAGCCGCCUACCAAGUCCUCUGGACCAUCUCGGCCAGCUACAGUAGUACUCCAUCUCGGCGUGGAAAAUGACAUGAUGACAUGAUCACAUGAUGGCCACUCUCUGUCAUGGUGCCUUGCCAUCACAGCUGAGCGGAUUCAGCCAAAUUGAAAAGUACUUCUAAAAUGUGUGCAGGCUUUGUUCUGGGAAUGUGCAGUAUAAUAUGAAGGAAGGUAUGUGCACUUAUUCAGGAAUAGCAAUUUGCAGCAAGCCUAUUUAGCAGUUCUUUUUUAAUUAAAUAAGAUAAUUUUCUGCAAGCCAUAUGAAUGGGCCCUAGUCAUUGGCUAGAUACAAAUGCAGUGAGCAACAGCAUCUAUUUUCAACGUCAACGCAGAAUGCGUAUACAUAUUACGUAUAAUAUUCUUGCUUCUGCAUAGAUAAAUAUAGAAAAAAAUAAUUGAAUUCAAAAUCUGUGUGAUGUAACCAUGUCUAUAAUACGUUUUGGUAGAUAUGUGAUCAUGUGAUAAUUUAGACUGAAUUAUCUAUACUAGGAGUUAUAGGAGUAUGUGUUAAUUGUUUGGGUUUCUGCGUGUUUUUGUGAGAAACGUUUUUGAAGUAAUCAAGACCAUAGUUAAAUUGUUGGAGUUGUUUUAUGUUUGACUUGUUCUGAGGGCCAGUUACACCAGAUGCAAGGUCAGUUUGCUCAUGUGACCUUGUUUUACAGCACAGCUGAUACAUUUAUGAUCAAUCUUGCUGAGAGGGGUUGUGUCUGAUUCACACAGUGCAACAGAGGCUUCACUUGUUCAGAUACUUUUGCAUCUUAUUUUACGUAGAUAGAUAGAUACUUCAUUGAUCCCCAAGGGGAAAUUCAAGGAAUUUUGUGCAUCUCCAUGUACGUUCAUCAGCUUGUGUUCAAAGUAAGUACUCUGAUGUAGCUAACAGUGAGAUGAAGACACAAUAUAUGUGCGCAUAUAUGAAAAUAUUUAUUCACUUUCCAAAACGUACAUCAAUUCUUACAUUCAUCUUAAACUUACCAAAUAUAUAAUUUACACUGUUGAAACCAUCAUACAUGCCAAGUCCAUACUUUGUUAAAUACAGUGACCUACACAUGUCUUUGUUUGGACUAGUACUUAUACCACUGACCACUGGGUCUGUUUGAUAUGAGGGACAACUCUAAUUAAGUUGAUUCUGAUUGAGCUUAGAAGCCAUAUUGCACAAGGCCUAGAAUUGAGAAAGUAUCUAGCUAAAGUAUGUCCAUGCUGUUUAAUCUUGUAACUAUCAGAUUGCUUCACCCAAAGUAAUGUAUUAAUAAACACUUCUUGCUUGUGUAUACUACAAAAGGUU